AUACAACUGAUGAGUCCCAAAUAGAAUGAAAUGCGCAUCCUGGAU
rnacentral:hammerhead_ribozyme from 1 species